GACGAACGCUGGCGGCGUGCUUAAUACAUGCAAGUCGAACGGAAAGGCCCUGCUUUUGUGGGGCUCUCGUGUGGCGAACGGGUGAGUAACACGUGAGUAACCUGUCCCUGACUUUGGGAUAUCUUUAGGAAACUGGGGCUAAUAUCGGAUAGGAGCUCCUGCUGCAUGGUGGGGGUUGGAAAGUUUCGGCGGUUGGGGAUGGACUCGCGGCUUAUCAGCUUGUUGGUGGGGUAGUGGCUUACCAAGGCUUUGACGGGUAGCCGGCCUGAGAGGGUGACCGGCCACAUUGGGACUGAGAUACGGCGCAGACUCCUACGGGAGGCAGCAGUGGGGAAUAUUGCACAAUGGGCGGAAGCGUGAUGCGGCGACGCCGCGUGCGGAAUGACGGCUUUCGGGUUAUAAACCGCUUUCGCCUGUGACGAAGCGUGAGUGACGGUAAUGGGUAAAGAAGCACCGGCUAACUACGUG
rnacentral:rRNA from 1 species